UACGUAGGGCGCAAGCGUUGUUCGGAUUUACUGGGCGUAAAGGGCGCGUAGGCGGCCACCGCAAGUCGACUGUGAAAUCUCCGGGCUUAACCCGGAAAGGUCAGCCGAUACUGCGGGGCUAGAGUGCAGAAGGGGCAACUGGAAUUCUCGGUGUAGCGGUGAAAUGCGUAGAUAUCGAGAGGAACACCUGCGGCGAAGGCGGGUUGCUGGGCUGACACUGACGCUGAGGCGCGAAAGCUAGGGGAGCGAACGGG
rnacentral:rRNA from 1 species